rnacentral:rRNA from 1 species
UGGGGGAUAUUGCACAAUGGGCGCAAGCCUGAUGCAGCGACGCCGCGUGGGGGAUGAAGGCCUUCGGGUUGUAAACUUCUUUUGCUCUGAACAAGGCGCACUUUGGGGUGUGUUGAGUGUAGGGGUUGAUUAGCGCCGGCUAACUACGUGCCAGCAGCCGCGGUAAUACGUAGGGCGCGAGCGUUGUCCGGAAUUAUUGGGCGUAAAGGGCUUGUAGGUGGCUGGUUGCGUCUGUCGUGAAAGCUCAUGGCUUAACUGUGGGUUUGCGGUGGGUACGGGCUGGCUUGAGUGCAGUAGGGGAGGCUGGAAUUCCUGGUGUAGCGGUGGAAUGCGCAGAUAUCAGGAGGAAUACCGGUGGCGAAGGCGGGUCUCUGGGCUGUUACUGACACUGAGGAGCGAAAGCAUGGGGGGCGAACAGG